AGGGUGUAAACGCUGCAGACUUGGUGUUGGGAACCCUUCGGGGGUGCUCAGUGCCGGAGAGAAGUUGUUAAGUCUGCUACUUGGGGAGUACGUCCGCAAGGAUGAAACUUAAAGGAAUUGGCGGGGGAGCACCGCAACGGGAGGAGCGUGCGGUUUAAUUGGAUUCAACGCCGAAAAACUCACCAGCAGCGACUGUUACAUGAAAGUCAGGUUGAUGACCUUACCAGAUUUUCAGAGAGGAGGUGCAUGGCGUCAGUGACU
rnacentral:rRNA from 1 species